rnacentral:rRNA from 1 species
UACGUAGGGUGCAGGCGUUAAUCGGAAUUACUGGGCGUAAAGCGUGCGCAGGCGGUUAUUUAAGUCAGGUGUGAAAGCCCUGGGCUUAACCUAGGAAUUGCGCUUGAGACUGGAUAGCUUGGAGUGCGGCAGAGGGAGGUGGAAUUCCACGUGUAGCGGUGAAAUGCGUAGAGAUGUGGAGGAACACCGAUGGCGAAGGCAGCCUCCUGGGCCAAUACUGACGCUCAUGCACGAAAGCGUGGGGAGCAAACAGG